UACAGAGGGUGCAAGCGUUAAUCGGAAUUACUGGGCGUAAAGCGUGCGUAGACGGUUAUGUAAGUCGGGUGUGAAAGCCCCGGGCUCAACCUGGGAAUGCCAUUCGAGACUGCAUAGCUAGGGUGCGGAAGAGGGAAGCGGAAUUUCCGGUGUAGCGGUGAAAUGCGUAGAUAUCGGAAGGAACACCAGUGGCGAAAGCGGCUUCCUGGGACGGUACUGACGCUGAGACGGCGAAAGCGUGGGGAGCGAACAGG
rnacentral:rRNA from 1 species